UAAAUUUAGGGGGCAUGCUGGGAUCGAGCUGCUCCUCCCUCUCUGGCUCCCUCUGAAGGCAAACAAAAGAAACACAGCAGCGAUUGACUAGGCAAAACAAAGCUGCUUUCUUCCUCCACCCAUUGGACAGCACACUCAACCCAAUCUCCAUGUCUAGUACCAUUGAGUCCACUGUCCUCUCUCUGAGACUGCUCUCUGCUUCUCUUGCUGGAAGAGCUGUCGGAAAAUGGCUUCUCCUUUAUCCAGGAGCGCGGCAGAGCUUUUCCAGAAAACAGGAGAGGGGGGAAAGACGGGCUGGGGACAGGGAAGGAAGAGAAGAGAAGGACACAUGGGGUUUGAGAGAAAGAGCAUGAAAAGUUUCCUUUACUCCCGGUGCAGUUGAUCAAUCUCAAACUGACCUUGACCGCAGAACAGACCUCAAUCAAACAUCCAUGCCUCCGGAUGCAUCGCUCAUUGCUGUGCCUCCGAGCGUGAUGGAGCAGGAAGCAUCAAUCUUUCCCAGCGAGGUGUUUACCUACCGUCAUGAAGACUUCAAACACCAUGACACGGGUCACACCUGCCAUGUGUCCUGAAGAUUAGAGUUCACCAGAGGUCAAACUUACUUCCGAAUGCUGUUCGCAACAGGACGCUGCCAUGUUACUCAGUGUUACGUGUGCUUUCAAGACCAUGCACAAGCCUCCCUCUUCACUUCACCCUUCAAGCCGCCUAAAACAAUGUUCGGAAACAUUGGAUCACCUGCUGCUGUCUAGUCAACAGGGCAAUAAACACGUUUUCCUUAAACAGGAACUGUGCAGCAGAUCAGUAGGUGCUACGCCACAAAAAUGUCCCUCUGAAGACGAGGAGGAGAACGCCAGGUGCUCGUGAAGGCCUCCUGAUGGGUCACUGCAAAGAUGCUGCUGUCGAUUAUGACCUUUUAAACUGGAUUCCUGCACUUUACGGGACAUCUUGAAGAGUAAGAGUGCAGUUUAUGGCCUCAUUCACCCACACGAUUAGUGAGAACUUUCUCACGUGUGAAGUUACAGGUCCAUUAGACUCUGUCAUUUCUGUCAUUUUGACUCAAUUGACAGUUAUAUUUAUAUCUAUAUAAGCUACUGUUCCAAGGUUCGUGAUAAGUGAGAUUUGUUUUUGUGCAAGAAAUUAUACUUUACAAAUAUUAGUUAAAAGGAUCAAAAGUGACUAUUUCCAGAUUUCUAUUUCCAGUAAAUGAUGUUCU